rnacentral:rRNA from 1 species
UGAACGCGAAGAACCUUACCAGCCCUUGACAUCCCGGUCGCGGACUCCAGAGACGGAGUUCUUCAGUUCGGCUGGACCGGAGACAGGUGCUGCAUGGCUGUCGUCAGCUCGUGUCGUGAGAUGUUGGGUUAAGUCCCGCAACGAGCGCAACCCCCGUCCUUAGUUGCUACCAUUUAGUUGAGCACUCUAAGGAGACUGCCGGUGAUAAGCCGCGAGGAAGGUGGGGAUGACGUCAAGUCCUCAUGGCCCUUACGGGCUGGGCUACACACGUGCUACAAUGGCGGUGACAAUGGGAUGCUAAGGGGCGACCCUUCGCAAAUCUCAAAAAGCCGUCUCAGUUCGGAUUGGGCUCUGCAACUCGAGCCCAUGAAGUUGGAAUCGCAUAGUAAUCGUGGAUCAGCACGCCACGGUGAAUACGUUCCCGGGUCUUGUACACACGCA